AGUGACUUGCUGGAGAGUGUAGGCCACGGAUUGAACUUAACCUCGAAAUUAGUUUGUAUAUGUAUUGUUCAGUGGUGCGUUCACAAUAUUUUUUCGUAUCAAAAUCACACCAAAUUUUUGGUGAAAUACCAUGACAGCUACUUUUGUUGUGAAUAGCCCACCUUUAGGUUUUCAGAGCAGACACAGGGCCGUAUCCAGGGGGGGUGAGAAAUAAAGGUCACAACAUUUUUUUUGGUACUUUUAUUGAAUUUGAGCGGAAAAUUGAAGUUGGAAAAGUAUAAAAAAUUGUUUUUCCAAUCGUUUUGCAAGUUUAUUCCAAGUGGCAGCGCGAAAGAAACAUACGUAAAUAUUUUGCUCAUGAGUUUUUGAUAAUCUUCCUUAUGAUUUUGUAUGAAGAUAUUUUAAUAAAAUUGAUGAAAGACUUUGAAAUUGACCAACCUGAACCACGGUCACAAACCACGGCGCCAACGCUGUACUCGACUUACUGACUCUAUCGUAAUGGAGACACUUGGAGUUGAUCAUCGAAGCAUCACAUCGAAGUUGAACAAACUCUAACUGAAGUUGAAAAGAAAACAUUGUUGGCGAAGUCUAAGUACUUUGAUAUAAUUGACCGUGUUUCAAAUGAAUUGAGAAAUCGCUUUGAAGAAGACAGCGAUAUUCUGACUGCUAUCACUGAAGUAAACAACAUAUGUAAUGAUAAUUUCGAUCGAAACGCUCUUGAAUCAUUAACUCACAUCAAUUUGAUUUUGCCCUCGGAAGCUGAAUUAACCGUGGUGAAAGCGUUUUUAUCAAAAAAUGAAAAGGAAGAUGGAAAUACUGCGUUGCAACAUUUGUUUCCUGUAAGAGAAGGUGUGAAAGAUACAUAUCAUCUUUUAGAAGCAGCUAAAACAUUUGGAAGUAGUACUGCGAUAGCUGAAAGCUCUUUCUCCGCAUUAUCAAGAAUAAACACAGUGCGUCGUAUGGCGAUGACAGAUAAACGCCUAUGUAAUCUAAGUUUCUUGGCAUUUGAAAAAACUAAGUUAAACGCUUUAGAGAAA